AACGAACGCUGGCGGCGCGUCUUAAGCAUGCAAGUCGAACGGCAAGAUUAGUGCUUGCACUAAUCCUAGAGUGGCGGACUGGUGAGUAACGCGUGGGUGACGUACCCUUCUGAUGGGGAUAGCUACUAGAAAUAGUAGAUAAUACCGAAUACGAUUUCGUAAGUUAGAGGUGCGGAAUGAAAGGAGCUUCGGCUCCGCGGAAGGAACGGCCCGCGUACCAUUAGCUAGUUGGUGUGGUAACGGCAUACCAAGGCGAUGAUGGUUACCCGGCCUAAGAGGGUGAUCGGGCACAUUGGGACUGAGAUACGGCCCAG
rnacentral:rRNA from 1 species